AGAACAUUUUUCUCAUUAUAUCGUAAUUAAAGCGAACCAGAAAAACUAGUUCACGACACACCUGGGGGGGGUGAUUAAUUAAAGUUGUUCUGAGAAUGCAUAACAAAAUUUAUAUGACCUACUGCUAGUGGUGCUAAAAAUAUAACCGAAGUGUCUUCAGAUCUGUUUAUACAAUUACGAAAACGUGCCGUGCAUAAAAUUAGCAUAAAAUUGGCAAGUGUCUGAAUUAAUUAUUCUACCCUUCAGUUACAUCGCUGGUGAAUCCGCUGUGAUCUUUCUUCCCGCACGGCUACACGUGAAUUUGCGGCUUAAGGCUUGACACUGCACCAUGAUCGUGCUAACUGAACGCUAAUAUGACACAACACAUCCUGGGUACGCAUUAUACAUAGGCUUAAUA